rnacentral:rRNA from 1 species
CAGUAGCCACGGGAAAACGUAUGUCACAAGCGUUAUCCGGAUUUAUUGGGCGUAAAGCGCGUCUAGGUGGUUAUGUAAGUCUGAUGUGAAAAUGCAGGGCUCAACUCUGUAUUGCGUUGGAAACUGUGUAACUAGAGUACUGGAGAGGUAAGCGGAACUACAAGUGUAGAGGUGAAAUUCGUAGAUAUUUGUAGGAAUGCCGAUGGGGAAGCCAGCUUACUGGACAGAUACUGACGCUAAAGCGCGAAAGCGUGGGUAGCAAACAGGAUUAGAUACCCCCGUAGUCCCUGUCUCUUAUACC